CCUACGGGCGGCAGCAGUGAGGAAUAUUGGUCAAUGGACGAGAGUCUGAACCAGCCAAGUAGCGUGAAGGAUGACUGCCCUAUGGGUUGUAAACUUCUUUUAUAUGGGAAUAAAAUGUUCCACGUGUGGGAUUUUGUAUGUACCAUAUGAAUAAGGAUCGGCUAACUCCGUGCCAGCAGCCGCGGUAAUACGGAGGAUCCGAGUGUUAUCCGGAUUUAUUGGGUUUAAAGGGCGCGUAGGUGGAUUGUUAAGUCAGUUGUGAAAGUUUGCGGCUCAACCGUAAAAUUGCAGUUGAAACUGGCAGUCUUGAGUACAGUAGAGGUGGGCGGAAUGCGUGGUGUAGCGGUGAAAUGCUUAGAUAUCACGAAGAACUCCGAUUGCGAAGGCAGUUCACUGGACUGCAACUGACACUGAGGCUCGAAAGUGUGGGUAUCAAACAGGAUUAGAUACCCCUGUAGUC
rnacentral:rRNA from 1 species